UAAAUCCGAUAAUCCAUGCGUUACUAUGUAAUAAUCUGUUUCUCUACUGAUUAAAAGAUACAUUUUCCUUUAUUCUAGAAUAAAAUCCCUUUCGAGUACCUUCCACUUUCCACGAAGUUGUCAAUUACUUUAACACCUUUUGAAAAUUUCAGGGAGCUGAGAAAGGUUAUGACCCUUUGACUCAGCCAAUCAUCUGAGAUCACUGGCAACCACA
rnacentral:lncRNA from 1 species